GAGUUUGAUCCUGGCUCAAGACGAACGCUGGCGGCGUGCCUAAUACGUGCAAGUCGAGCGAACCAAUGGGAGCUUGCUCCCUGAGGUUAGCGGCGGACGGGUGAGUAACACGUGGGAAACCUGCCUGUAAGACUGGGAUAACUCCGGGAAACCGGGGCUAAUACCGGAUAAUUCAUUUCCUCUCAUGAGGAAAUGCUGAAAGAUGGUUUCGGCUGUCACUUACAGAUGGGCCCGCGGCGCAUUAUCUAUUUGGUGAGGUAACGGCUCACCGAGGCCACGAUGCGUAUCCGACCUGAGAGGGUGAUCGGCCACACUGGAACUGAGACACGGUCCAGACUCCUACGGGAGGCAGCAGUGGGGAAUUUUGCGCAAUGAGCGAAAGCCUGACGCAGCAACGCCGCGUGAGCGAUGAAAGCCUUCGAGUCAUAAAGCUCUGUCGGGUGGGAAGAACGCAUUGACGGUACCACCAAGGGAAGCCCCGGCUAACUCCGUGCCAGCAGCCGCGGUAACACGGAGGGGGCAAGCGUUGUUCGGAAUCAUUGGGCGUAAAGCGUAUGUGGGUGGCCGGAUAAGUCAGACGUGUAAGCCCACGGCUCAACCGUGGAAUCGCGUUUGAAACUAUUCGGCUUGAGUGCAAGAGAGGAAUGCGGAAUUUCCAGUGUAGCGGUGAAUGCGUUGAUAUUGGGAAGAACACCAGUGGCGAAGGCGGCCUUCUGGCCUGCAACUGACACUGAGAUACGAAAGCCAGGGGAAGCGAUCGGUAUUAGAUGCCCUGGUAGUCCCGGCUGUAACAUACGGUAACUAGGUCUCGGAGAUGUUGAUCCCUUCCUCGGCCGCAGCUAAUGCUUUAGCUAACCCGCCUAGGGAGUCGGCUCGCAAGUCCGAUCCUAAAACUAAUACUCAAAGGACCGCACAAGCGCUGGAGCAUGUAGUGUAAUUCGAAGCAACGUGAAGAACUUUGCCAGGUCCUGACAUCCUCUGACCAUCCUGGAGACAGCACUUCCCAUUUGGGGGCAGACUGACAGGAGGUGCAUGCUGGUCGUCAGCUGGUGUCGUGAGAUGUUGGGUUAAGUCCCUCAACGAGCUCAACCCUUGUCCUUAGUCGCCAGCAUUGAGUUGGGCACUCUAAGGAGACUGCCGGUGACAAACCGGAGGAAGGUGGGGAUGAUGUCAAAUCAUCAUGCCCUUUAUGUCCUGGGCUACACACGUGCUACAAUGGAUGGUACAAAGGGCAGCGAAACCGUGAGGUUGAGCCAAUCCCAUAAAACCAUUCUCAGUUCGGAUUGCAGGCUGCAACUCGCCUGCAUGAAGUCGGAAUCGCUAGUAAUCGCGGAUCAGCAUGCCGCGGUGAAUACGUUCCCGGGCCUUGUACACACCGCCCGUCACACCACGAGAGUUUGUAACACCCGAAGUCGGUGGGGUAACCUUUUGGAGCCAGCCGCCUAAGGUGGGACAAAUGAUUGGGGUGAAGUCGUAACAAGGUAGCCGU
rnacentral:rRNA from 1 species